CUUAUACAGCAGAUUCCAGUUUUUUUUUGCUCCAGCCUUUGGACCGGUGUUAUUAACGUUUUGUUUUCGAUGUCAGCGUUACUUCGUCUCACUCUGUGUGGAAUAGUUAGUGUUGUUUCUGUCUUUGUCUCUGUCUCUUUAAUCUGUCUGUCCAGAUUUCGGUCUCUCUCAGUGGAGGGUCCAGGUUGAGCUUCUUGUCGAUGCCGUUCAGACAACAAGAUGUCAAAUCACGCUGUCGAUUCCCGAGCUGGACUCAGAGCAGCGUUUCUACGCACACUUUCUGCCGGGACGAACCAAGAACAGCGUCACCGUACAUCUCAACACGAGUAAGGAGGUAAAACUUUGGUGGCCCAACGGACACGGCGACCAGCCUUUUUACUUUCUGUCUCUCCGAGGCUUUCAGGACGGCUUUUUGAUCCUGAACACAAAAUCUAAGGUGUAUUUUCGCACAGUGAAACUCGUCCAGGAGCCAGUUGUCGGGUCUCUGGGCCUCAGCUUUUAUUUCAGCAUCAAUGGGAAACCAAUUUUCCUCAAAGGCUCCAACUGGAUCCCAGCACACUCCUUCCAGGACCAGGUCACCCCUGCUGUGUGAGUUCAGUUUCAACAGCUGCUUU